GCCCGGUUAGCUCAGUCGGUAGAGCAUGGGACUCUUAAUCCCCACAUUGGGCG
rnacentral:tRNA from 1 species